rnacentral:rRNA from 1 species
UACGUAGGGGGCGAGCGUUACCCGGAUUUACUGGGCGUAAAGCGCGUGUAGGCGGCUGGUCAAGCGUGGUGUGAAAUCUCCGGGCUCAACCCGGAAACUGCAUUGCGAACUGACCUAGCUGGAGUGCAGGAGAGGGCAGCGGAAUUCCCGGUGUAGCGGUGAAAUGCGUAGAUAUCGAGAGGAACACCUGCGGCGAAGGCGGGUUGCUGGGCCGACACUGACGCUGAUGCGCGAAAGCCAGGGGAGCGAACGGG